GUCCACGCCCUAAAACGAUGCGAACUGGACGUUGGGUGCAAUUGAGCAUUCAGUGUCGAAGCUAACGCGUUAAGUUCGCCGCCUGGGGAGUACGGUCGCAAGACUGAAACUCAAAGGAAUUGACGGGGGCCCGCACAAGCGGUGGAGUAUGUGGUUUAAUUCGAUGCAACGCGCAGAACCUUACCUGGCCUUGACAUGUCGAGAACUUAGCAGAGAUGCUUUGGUGCCUUCGGGAACUCGAACACAGGUGCUGCAUGGCUGUCGU
rnacentral:rRNA from 1 species